CAUCGUUUGGUCACCACACUUGGUUCCUUGUUGUUGUUUUUCUGAAAUUGAAAGAUUUUGGUUUUGUUUAGUUAUCCUUUUGGAGAUCAUGAAUUAUCCAUCAGAUGAGUGAGUGUAUGAGAAACUGUCAGUGACUUGCCAAGGGUACAUGCAGUUAUUAAGUUUGUCAGGCAGUUUUAAUUUUCAGUGUGGAGAUUGUAGUUAAGUGCUACUGAGAAAAGAAGUUCAGGUUUUGUGACUCUAACCAAGCAACAUGUGUACUUCAUGUACAAAGGAUUGCUGUGGAAGAUAAAGAGUGUUACAGGCGUAAGUGAAGACCUGGUGUAAAUGUGCAGCAAGCCAGUCUUUCAGAACAAGAAGCUGCUAAAGAGUGUGUCUGAUAAAGACCACUGUCUUAGGUAUUCCCCUGAUGAUAAUUAGAUUGGAGGACAGCCAGCAUAGCCUGUCAUCUGGACAUCAUCAAACAAUUGCAACUGCAACGUCCUGCUCCUGUGAGUGAACACCCAAACAGCACGUGGCUACAGACUGCAGGGCAUGACUGUGCAGGUCGAGAUCUGCAUAUGUGUCACAAAAGACUUCUGGUCUCACCGUUUCCAUUGAAUGAAUUUGAAUGAAGGAGUACUUUACCAGGAUCAUGAAUACAAUGAAUCGCUUCCUGAGCGACUGUCCGAAUUACGGCCUUUCAGAGCGCAGGGUAUGUGAUAAACUCAUAAUGGACAGAUUCCCUGCUGGUGAUGGGCACUGUACUGGAAAUAAGGAAUAAGUUGCAAAUGGAAAUUUGCUUUAUAUACCAUAGUGAUCUUUAU
ensembl:lncRNA